ACACUCUUUUACCUGGGU
rnacentral:snRNA from 1 species